rnacentral:rRNA from 1 species
AAAGGUAAGCUACUAAGAGCGAAUGGUGGAUGCCUUGACUGGUAAAGGCGAUGAAGGACGUACUAGACUGCGAUAAGCUACGGGGAGCUGUCAAGAAGCUUUGAUCCGUAGAUUUCCGAAUGGGGCAACCCAAUGUAUAGAGAUAUACAUUACCUAUAUAGGAGCGAACGAGGGGAAUUGAAACAUCUUAGUACCCUCAGGAAAAGAAAUCAAUAGAGAUUGCGUCAGUAGCGGCGAGCGAAAGCGCAAGAGGGCAAACCCAGUGCUUGCACUGGGGGUUGUAGGACUGCAAUGUGCAAGAGCUGAGUUUAGCAGAACAUUCUGGAAAGUAUAGCCAUAGAGGGUGAUAGUCCCGUAUGCGAAAAACAAAGCUUAGCUAGCAGUAUCCUGAGUAGGGCGGGACACGAGGAAUCCUGUCUGAAUCCGGGUCGACCACGAUCCAACCCUAAAUACUAAUACCAGAUCGAUAGUGCACAAGUACCGUGAGGGAAAGGUGAAAAGAACUGAGGUGAUCAGAGUGAAAUAGAACCUGAAACCAUUUGCUUACAAUCAUUCAGAGCACUAUGUAGCAAUACAGUGUGAUGGACUGCC